CGCUGCCAUAAACUCUCCGAGUUUUCGUUGAACAUCAGCGUGUGCUAUUGCCUUUGCCUAAUAAUCCCGUAGCUAUUCAUCUAUCACCCCGCCUGCACGGAUAAAAACCUGCGCCAGUAUUGUAAUAACCGUACGAAAAAGUUAGACUGCCAUCGACAAAACCAAUAAGUCAUCCUGAAAAAUCGCCAGGGCUGUCCUUCGUAAAGUUUAGCCAACUUCACUUUGCCGAUCUGAGGGCAGAGCGUUGCGCUAUGGUGUGCAUAGUCGCCAUCAGUUGCAUCGAACGAUGCAUCUAUCCACUCUAAAUGACUGCGCGCGAAAAUGGAAGUAAUUUGAUUGUGAUAAUACAUUAGUUAUGCUUGUUCGUCGAUUGAGCUUCGUUUGUUAAUAUACCUUAUGAUAAAAAAGAAAAGUCGGUGAUAAUUGCAUCCACUGAGCGUCAGUGUGUAGACACAGAAUUAAAAAAUGUAUUACAUACUUUUCUCAGAAUACUAUGAAAUAGCCAGUGGUGAUUCUAAAUCAGUAUAUUAAUUGACAUUUGGUUAAAUCCUCAAGCCAAAUGGAAGUGAACGUGUACGUACAGCUGCGCGACGGACGCUGCAGGAAGUAUCUUUAUUCUACCCGUAUUAUGAUACGAACAUAACAAAGCAACUCCAAGAAUAAUUUGGGCGUCGCAUCUCCGCCAUCUAAUCAGCAUUGCCGCCACCGUCGACGUCAUUCAACCUAGUUCUGUUGUUGAUGAGCGCUGGAGUCUACUCGCGUGCGGUUCAAGUGUUACGAUUUUGGACUUGACCUUAGAGGGGCCUAACCGCCAAGAAAAAUCGGUCAGACAGUUCACUGGCCUAUCGCCAUCAUUAAAACCUGGCCGUCCGUGAGGGCUGCAACACGAUACGUCUCACGUGCAAAAAGGACACUACAUUAUUGGUAUCUCAUAUCGAUAUAUGGGCUCUGUUUAGCGGAUACAAUAAUGACGCGGAGAAAUAUGACAGCCUCGACGAGAAAAACAGCCAACAAAUCAAUCUGCGGCCAGAGUCUUACCACAGUGGAACGCUGUGUGCGUACGUGUGCGCCGGUGCAAGUGCGGAUGUUUUCAACCAUAUUCGUAAUUGAC